ACACAAACCAGCCAUUGUUCACAGGAGUAGGAAUGCACCCCUAAAUAGGGUGCAAACUUCAUGGGUGAUGGUGCUGAGAAUUUGAAAUGAACACAAAUUAAUUAUUGCAAUUAGAAAGUGAGAAAUAGCAGAAUUCAUUAAUUCUAGUGAAAUUCGGAAUGAGAUCACCUCUUUUAAUAUAAAAUUUAUCAGCAAAUUUUGCCUACAGUUACCGAGAAUUGAAAACCUUGAGAAAUUGGAAUUCUACAAAAUGAAUGUCCAUCUGGACCUCUGAAUGCCAUCCUCUGAGAAGAUGCCCAUGACAGCAAGCACACUGGAGCGCAACACCAUCCUGGGUGAAGAUUUGUUGCAAUUGAAUGUGGAUGUGCUGAUCUCUGUGCUCCUGGAUAUGGAGCUGUUAAUCUCUCCUCAAGAGCUGGAUGCAGGCCCAGGCUGCCAUGUAGCACUGAGUGAUGCCAUGCCAAUUCUAGACAAGGUCUUUAUUGCUGGAAAUGUUGCAUAAUGACAGUUUUAUUCAUGUGAAAACGCAGAAUACAUUUCAACUGUAUGAAAUUGUUUAUGUUCAUCAGAAAUGUUAUUUGUCUUCACAAAGUCUGGUUUCAAUGAACCAGCUAUGUAAUGGAUAUUAAAUAAACAUGGAAUUUUACAUGUUCAUAA
rnacentral:lncRNA from 1 species